rnacentral:lncRNA from 1 species
AUGAAUUUAGUCACCUAUGAUGACGUGCAUGUGAAUUUCACUCAGGAAGAGGGGGCUUUGCUUGAGACUUCUCAGAAGAAUCUCUACAAAGAUGUGAUGCUAGAGACCUAUAGGAAUCUCUCAGCUAUAGGGUACAUUUGGGAAGAACAUACAAUUGAAGACCAUUUUCAAACUUCUAGAAGUCAUGGAAGGCAUGAAAGAAGUUGUAUUGCAGUACAACCCUCUGAAUUUAUUCAAUGUGGUAAAGCCUUUGCAUAUCAUAGUCUUAGACAAAGGCAUGAAAGAACACAUAAUGGGGAGAAAGACUAUUACUGUAACCAAUGUGGUAAAGCCUUUGUAAUAAGCAGUCAUCUCCGAAUACAUAAACGAAGAAAUACAGGAGAGAAACCCUAUGAAUGUAA